GAUGAACGCUGGCGGCGUGCUUAACACAUGCAAGUCGAACGGAAAGGCUCCUGCUUUCUGGGGUACUCGAGUGGCGAACGGGUGAGUAACACGUGGGUGAUCUGCCCUUCACUUCGGGAUAAGCCUGGGAAACUGGGUCUAAUACCGGAUAGGACGAUGGUCUGGAUGCCAUUGUGGAAAGUUUUUUCGGUGUGGGAUGAGCUCGCGGCUUAUCAGCUUGUUGGUGGGGUAAUGGCCUACCAAGGCGUUGACGGGUAGCCGGCCUGAGAGGGUGUACGGCCACAUUGGGACUGAGAUACGGCCCAGACUCCUACGGGAGGCAGCAGUGGGGAAUAUUGCACAAUGGGCGGAAGCCUGAUGCAGCGACGCCGCGUGGGGGAUGACGGCCUUCGGGUUGUAAACCCCUUUCGCCAGGGACGAAGCGCAAGUGACGGUAACUGGAGAAGAAGCACCGGCUAACUACGUG
rnacentral:rRNA from 1 species